AGGAUUCCCCCAGUAGCGGCGAGCGAACAGGGAAGAGCCCAGCACCGAAUCCCGCGUUCGAUACCGAGCGCAGGGAAAUGUGGUGUUAGGGAGAGGCGCCAUGCCUCGAGGUCCGAUGGCGAGUCCAAGUCCUUCUUGAACGGGGCCACUGCCCAUAGAGGGUGCCAGGCCCGUAGCGACCGCUGUCGACCGCGAGGUGUUCUCUCCUAAGAGUCGGGUUGCUUUAGAGUGCAGCCCUAAGUGGGUGGUAAACUCCAUCUAAGGCUAAAUAUGACCACGAGACCGAUAGCGAACAAGUACCGUGA
rnacentral:rRNA from 1 species